AGAGUUUGAUCAUGGCUCAGGAUCAACGCUGGCGGCGUGCCUAAUGCAUGCAAGUCGCACGGGCAUCCUUCGGGGUGUCAGUGGCGAACGGCUGAGGAACACGUGCGUAUCUGCCGGUUCGUGGGGAAUAACGCGGAGAAAUCCGCGCUAAUACCGCGUACGCUCAUCCUUUGGGUGAGGAAAGCCUUCGGGCGCGGACUGAGGAGCGCGCGGCCCAUCAGGUUGAUGGCGGGGUAACGGCCCACCAAGGCGACGAUGCGUAGCUGGUCUGAGAGGAUGAUCAGCCACACUGGGACUGAGACACGGCCCAGACUCCUACGGGAGGCAGCAGCCAGGAAUCUUGGGCAAUGGGCGAAAGCCUGACCCAGCAACACCGUGUGGGUGAUGAAGGCCUUCGGGUCGUAAAGCCCUGUUGAUAGGGACGAAGGGCAAAGGGUUAAUAGCCCGGAGCUUGACGGUACCUUUCGAGGAAGCCCCGGCUAACUACGUGCCAGCAGCCGCGGUAAUACGUAGGGGGCGAGCGUUGUCCGGAAUUAUUGGGCGUAAAGAGCGUGUAGGCGGUUCGGUAAGUCUGUCGUGAAAUCCUGGGGCUCAACCCCGGGCGUGCGAUGGAUACUGCCGGGCUAGAGGGUGGUAGAGGCGAGUGGAAUUCCCGGUGUAGCGGUGAAAUGCGCAGAUAUCGGAAGGAACACCAGUAGCGAAGGCGGCUCGCUGGGCCACACCUGACGCUGAGACGCGAAAGCUAGGGGAGCGAACAGGAUUAGAUACCCCAGUAGUCC
rnacentral:rRNA from 1 species